CGCCGCUUCCCUUCCUCCUUGCCCUAAAACACGCUCUUUCUCGUCGCCUCCUUGCCGUCGCUCUUUCUCUCCGCUCUCCGCCCCCAUCGAACUCCCGGUGAUGCUCUCUGCGCCCUCUGCUCUCUGCUCUCUAUGGUCCUAACUCUCGACGCUCUCCCUUCCCAUCGAACGUCCGACGACCCAAGAUUCUUCCCCUAGCCCUCGCCUGCCCUAAAUCUGUCCUGAAUCCAGGGAAGUUGAAGCUUUACUGGUAUUCAGAUAUUCAAUUUGUGAUAUCUGCCGUGAUAUGAUCAUUACAUUUGCUUAAUGUCUGUGGAGGAGUUUAUAUUGAAAAUUGUUAUAUUUGAUUAAAAAUCCACAAUUUUAGCAAUCAUAGCAUGGAGGAAAGUCGUUGUUUCGGAUAGGUUGUUAUUUGAUGGCAUCAUCAAGUUACAGCUCCAUCGACAAUACAAAAUUUGAACAUGUACCAUAUAGAGAUUACGGACGAAGAACAUUGGUAUGUGUUUCUAGAUUGAGCAAAAAUCCCGGAAGGAGGUAUUAUGGAUGUGUGCAACAUGGCUGGCAAACGUGGGUGAUAGCUAGCUAAUACUUUGUCUAAUGAAGACAGAAGUGAAAUAUGUCGUGGAAGGUUAGGAAGAAUAUAGUCAAGGUUAGGCAGUGAAUACAUUGCUUCUCGUGGGCAUAAUCUAGGAAAUUGGAAUGUACCAUCAGUGGUCUGGAUAUUAGUUAUAGUGAAUUUAACUCUUUUGAAUGUAUAUUUUAUUACUUUGUUAGUUCGGUCUUGUUAAUUAGUGUUCAGUAAUGUUGUUGUUGUAAUAUGACAGAUUAAAUGUUUGUAAUAACCAGCUUAAGACUAAUUGGUUUAUUAGUUUAGGUGGUUAGUUAGUGUUGACUAAUGUUGGUACUGUAAUGUGAUAGGAUAAUUUGUUUUUAGUUAAGAUGGAUAAUGCAGAACAUGUUAUAUAA